GACGAACGCUGGCGGCGUGCUUAACACAUGCAAGUCGAGCGGUAAGGCUCCUUCGGGAGUACACGAGCGGCGAACGGGUGAGUAACACGUGAGCAAUCUGCCCAUCUCAUCGGGAUAACCAUUGGAAACGAUGGCUAAUACCGAAUACGACCUUCUUUCGCAUGAUCGAAGGUGGAAAGCUCCGGCGGAGAUGGAUGAGCUCGCGGCCUAUCAGCUUGUUGGUGGGGUAACGGCCCACCAAGGCGACGACGGGUAGCCGGCCUGAGAGGGUGACCGGCCACACUGGGACUGAGACACGGCCCAGACUCCUACGGGAGGCAGCAGUGGGGAAUAUUGGACAAUGGGCGAAAGCCUGAUCCAGCAACGCCGCGUGAGGGAUGACGGCCUUCGGGUUGUAAACCUCUUUCAGCGGGGACGAAGCGAAAGUGACGGUACCCGCAGAAGAAGGACCGGCCAACUACGUGCCAGCCGCCGCCGUAAUAC
rnacentral:rRNA from 1 species